CAAUAGCGUAUAUUAAAGUUGUUGCGGUUAAAAAGCUCGUAGUUGGAUUUCUGCCGAGGACGACCGGUCCGCCCUCUGGGUGUGUAUCUGGUUUGGCCUGGGCAUCUUCUUGGAGAACGUAGCUGCACUUGACUGUGUGGUGCGGUGUCCAGGACUUUUACUUUGAGGAAAUUAGAGUGUUUCAAGCAGGCACACGCCUUGAAUACAUUAGCAUGGAAUAAUAAGAUAGGACCUCGGUUCUAUUUUGUUGGUUUCUAGAGCUGAGGUAAUGAUUAAUAGGGAUAGUUGGGGGCAUUCGUAUUUAACUGUCAGAGGUGAAGUUCUUGGAUUUGUUAAAGACGGACUACUGCGAAAGCAUUUGCCAAGGAUGUUUNCAUUGA
rnacentral:rRNA from 1 species